rnacentral:lncRNA from 1 species
AAAAUAUAUUGAUGGAACCGAAUCCUUAGCUCAAAUCGCCACUGAGAACAAGUUCCUUUCCUCCAUGUAAUUGAGAUAUCGGACCGACAUAACCUUCGAGUGGUGUCUGGUUUCGAAAACUACCUCAAUUGAACGUGGAGGCAGUUUUCCAAUAAAAAUCUUCAUCUUGUCCCAACUCAGUUUGGGUACAUCAACCCAAUAGCAUAUAUAGCGGGACCA